rnacentral:rRNA from 1 species
GACGUAGGGCGCGAGCGUUGUCCGGAUUUAUUGGGCGUAAAGAGCUUGUAGGCGGCUCGUCGCGUCGGGUGUGAAAACUUGCGGCUUAACCGCAAGCCUGCACCCGAUACGGGCGGGCUAGAGUUCGGCAGGGGAGACUGGAAUUCCUGGUGUAGCGGUGGAAUGCGCAGAUAUCAGGAGGAACACCGGUGGCGAAGGCGGGGUCUCUGGGGCCGAUACUGACGCUGAGAAGCGAAAGCGUGGGGAGCGAACAGG